GAUGAACGCUGACAGAAUGCUUAACACAUGCAAGUCAUUGGCGAAGCUGCGCUUGCGCAGUCUAGCCAAGGCGGACGGGUGAGUAACGCGUAAGGAACUUGCCCUGCAGACAGGGAUAACAGACGGAAACGACUGAUAACACCUGGUAUUGUCAGGCUGGCGCAUGCCGGCCUGAUGAAAGGAGACGCUGCACGAGAGCCUUGCGUCCUAUUAGCUAGUUGGUGGGGUAACGGCCCACCAAGGCGAUGAUAGGUAGCCGGCCUGAGAGGGUGAACGGCCACAAGGGGACUGAGAUACGGCCCUUACGCCUACGGGAGGCAGCAGUGGGGAAUAUUGGACAAUGGGGGCAACCCUGAUCAAGCAAUUCUGUGUGCACGAAGAAGGUUUUCGGAUUGUAAAGUGCUUUCAGCAGGGAAGAAGAAAGUGACGGUACCUGCAGAAGAAGCGACGGCUAAAUACGUG
rnacentral:rRNA from 1 species